AUGGCUCAGGAUGAACGCUAGCUACAGGCUUAACACAUGCAAGUCGAGGGGAAACGACAUCGAAAGCUUGCUUUUGAUGGGCGUCGACCGGCGCACGGGUGAGUAACGCGUAUCCAACCUGCCCACCACUUGGGGAUAACCUUGCGAAAGUAAGACUAAUACCCAAUGAUAUCCCACGAAGGCAUCCGAAUGGGAUUAAAGAUUUAUCGGUGAUGGAUGGGGAUGCGUCUGAUUAGCUGGUUGGCGGGGCAACGGCCCACCAAGGCAACGAUCAGUAGGGGUUCUGAGAGGAAGGUCCCCCACAUUGGUACUGAGACACGGACCAAACUCCUACGGGAGGCAGCAGUGAGGAAUAUUGGUCAAUGGGCGAGAGCCUGAACCAGCCAAGUAGCGUGCAGGAAGACGGCCCUAUGGGUUGUAAACUGCUUUUAUAAGGGAAUAAAGUGAGUCUCGUGAGACUUUUUGCAUGUACCUUAUGAAUAAGGACCGGCUAAUUCCGUG
rnacentral:rRNA from 1 species